GAAAAACACUACAGUUCUAAAAAAAGCCAAAGGAAGGAAGUGGAAGAACCUCAGAGGCGAGUGGGAGUGCGAAAGGAAUGUGACUGCAUUUUUCCCCCUCCCUGCAUCUCCCAAGGCACUGAGAUUGCCAGAAACCAAGCAGAAGAAAACAGAAGAGUCAUUUGAAAACAAUGUCAUGAAAAGGAAAUCAAUUUCGUAUGCAUUUCUGAGAGUAAUGACCAGCAUAAAAGAGAAAGAACUCAUGGACCACAAUCUUAGGAGGACUUUAUGUCAUACUGUGGCAGAGACUUUGGGCAGAGUUACAGCCACUCUGUGUAUGUCUGUACACUGCUGCAGAGAGCAAAGGCAGCCAAAGGGCACAGGGAGGACAAGAAGUAGUAGCAACAACACUCCUGACAAGUCAAGCUAACCAUCUGUCUCCUCUUUCCCA